GACGAACGCUGGCGGCGUGCUUAACACAUGCAAGUCAUGGGGGCCUGGGCAACCAGGCAACCGGCGAACGGGUGCGUAACACGUGAGCAACCUGCCUAGGUGUGGGGGAUAGCCGGCCUAACGGCCGGGUAAUACCGCAUACGUUCUCGCUAGGGAGUCCUGGCGAGAGGAAACCCGUGGGGCAACUCACUGGGGCAGCUAGAGGGGCUCGCGGCCUAUCAGCUAGUUGGCGGGGAACGGCCCACCAAGGCGGUGACGGGUAGCUGGUCUGAGAGGAUGGCCAGCCACAUUGGGACUGAGAAACGGCCCAGACUCCUACGGGAGGCAGCAGUGGGGAAUCUUGCGCAAUGGUCGAGAGACUGACGCAGCGACGCCGCGUGUGGGAGGACGCCUCGGU
rnacentral:rRNA from 1 species